rnacentral:lncRNA from 1 species
GGAAAAUAAAAUAUGAAGGAGCAUAAUUUCGAGGAGGUUGCAAGUAAUCAUGCAUGGUUCGUACUUGUUGGUUUUCAUUUUCAUCGUGUAUGCUUUCAUUAUCAGCCAUGGUGGAAGAUGUGAGUGAGUGUUGAGGUGAGUCAAAUAAAUUACUAAAGAAAGUUUCACAAUUAUCUUUAACUAAACGAUGAGAAUUUAAUUCACGAUACCAAUAUGACAUAAAAUAACAAAAAGUAGAUGUAAUGAACAAAAAUUAGGUGGCACAGCCAACCAUAUAAUAAGAACGAAAAUUAGGUGGCACGGCCAACCAUAUAAUAAACAAUGGCAGAUCGGGAGGCUCGGCCUUCCCUUUAAGGUAAGAAAAUAAACAGAAAAUAAAAACGAAGGAGGCUCGGCCUUCCUUUAAAGUAAAAUAACUAAAGUAAUAAGAUUGAAAAAGGAACGAGUGUACCUGAUUUAUGAAGAUUAUGACAGAGAAGAAAACCUCACAGAAAGUAGCAGAAAAUAAUCCUUGACACAAAUCCCCGGCAACGGCGCCAAAAACUUGCUACAACUUUAAGGUUGCAAACCCAAGUGCAGGUUGUCGCAAGUAGUAAAUCUCGGAAGUCCGAGGUCGAACCACAGGGAAUUGGAAGGAAAUAAACUAUUCUAUGAGUAAUGAACGGUUGGUGGAAAUACGAUUGAGACGAACACUAGAGCAUCGGGGAUUCACUUUGGAUAAAUGAGUAGAAAUUGCACUUGAUCUUUAAUUUAACUCAUAUGAAAAUCAACUAAGGAGUCAUCUCAUAUGGAAGAUAAAACAUUAAUCACAAAUAUAUUAAAAGAUAGAUCUUGAUAAUUGUUUGAGAGAAUAUGUAAAAAUAAGUUGUUGGUAUGUAGAGAUUAUCUAAGCAUUUA